rnacentral:rRNA from 1 species
UACGUAGGGGGCAAGCGUUGUCCGGAAUUAUUGGGCGUAAAGCGCGCGCAGGCGGCUAUUUAAGUCUGGUGUUUAAACCUUGGGCUCAACCUGAGGUCGCACUGGAAACUGGGUGGCUUGAGUACAGAAGAGGAAAGUGGAAUUCCACGUGUAGCGGUGAAAUGCGUAGAUAUCGAGAGGAACACCUGAGGUGAAGACGGGUUGCUGGGCCGACACUGACGCUGACAGCGCGAAAGCCAGGGGAGCAAACGGG